CCCCUUUUAGGGGGAGUGGCGAACGGGUUAGUAACACGUAGGCAUCUACCCUUAACUCAGGCAUAACUUAUUGAAAAAUAAGCUAAUUCCUGAUAGUCCGAACUUUUUGUUCGGUAAAGAUUUAUCGGUUAGGGAAGAACCUGCGUCCUAUCAGUUUGUUGGUGAGGUAAUGGCUUACCAAGACUAUGACGGGUAGGGGGCAUGAGAGUGUGACCCCCAACAUAGGCACUGAGACACGGGCCUAACUCCUACGGGAGGCAGCAGUCGAGAAUCUUCCACAAUGGGCGAAAGCCUGAUGGAGCGACGCCGCGUGAUUGAAGAAGCCCUGCGGGGUGUAAAAAUCUUUUCUACUGGAAGAAGUCGCUUUUAGCGAUUGACGGUACUUUAGGAAUAAGAGGGUGCUAAUCACGUGCCAGCAGCAGCGGUAAUACGUGACCCUCGAGCGUUGUCCGGAAUUAUUGGGCGUAAAGAGUCUGUAGGCGGUUUGGAUAGUUUUUGGUUAAAGUCUAAGAGCUUAACUUUUAGAAUGCCAGAAAUACUUCCAGACUAGAGGGCAUUAGAGGCUAACGGAACUGUUAGUGGAGGGGUGAAAUCCGUUGAUAUUAACAGGAACACCAAAAGCGAAGGCAGUUAGCUGGGAUGACCCUGACGCUGAGAGACGAAAGCGUGGGUAGCGAAGAGGAUUAGAUACCCUCGUAGUCCACGCUGUAAACGAUGAACACUAGCUUCUUGAAGUGUCGACCCUUCAAGUGGCGAAGCUAACGCGUUAAGUGUUCCGCCCGGGAAGUACGAUCGCGAGAUUAAAACUCAAAGGAAUAGACGGGGACUCACACAAGCGGUGGAUCAUGCGGCUUAAUUCGAUAAUAAGCGAGGAACCUUACCAAGACUUGACAGACUAGUGAAAGUUUUCAGAGAUGAAAACCCUCUUUUAGACUCUAGUCCAGGUGCUGCAUGGUUGUCGUCAGCUCGUACCUUGAGGCGUACCGCUAAGUCGGACAACGAGCGCAACCCCUACUCUGUGUUUCAUGUGUCACAGAGAACUGCCUAGGAUAACUAGGAGGAAGGUGGGGAUGACGCCAAAUCAGCAUGGCCCUUUGACGUCUUGGGCUGCACGCGUGAUACAAUGGGAGUGACAAUGAGUUGCCAAAGCGCAAGCUGGAGCUAAUCUCACCAAACGCUCCCCCAGUUCGGAUUGAGGUCUGCAACCCGACCUCAUGAAGCCGGAAUCGCUAGUAAUCGCAAAUCAGACAUGUUGCGAUGAAUAUGUUCCUGAGUCUUGUACUCACCGCCCGUCACACUAAGGGAGCUAGGAG
rnacentral:rRNA from 1 species